CUGAGUGGGUAGAGGAGUGGUUUGGUGUUUGAAGCGUUUCUUUCUCUUUUUGCUCUCUCUCUCUCUCUCUCGCGUCGACGAUGAAACGGCGAAUCAGUGGCUUACUGCAACGUUUCUAUGGUUUCUUCUCUCCCGCUCUCUCGUUCUGAUUCGCGGCGAUGGUGUUUUUUCUCCCCGGUGACUUUCAACGACGAAUACGAGAAGGAGGGCAUGCGCGAGUACUCUGCAACCGCCGGUUUGGGAUGUACUGCUGCGAGAUCACCGGCGUGGAUGCCAAGAUGAAAGAUGGAGUCUUGAAGGUUCUCAUUACCCCUCGUCCCAACACCACCACCAACGAGUUGAAAUCGUUGAAAACGUUGUGACUAUGAUGGAGGUUGAAGAAGAGAGUGAAAAGGAAGUGUCUUUAGAUGAUGUUAAUCUGCAAAAUGGGUGGUGGAUGAUGAUUCUCAAGCUGAUAAGAGAAGUUCACUCCAUGUGACUGAUGUCUGCAGUUUUGAAGCAUAUAGAAAGGCAUUCAAGAGUGCUGAGAACCGGAGUUUUAAACUGAAAGCCAGAGGCUUUGGUGAUGCUUUGAAAGAAAGGUGUCGUGGUUUGUUGUGAAGCUUGCGUUCUGUUUUCAUACCAGAUGAAGACCUAGUUGAGGUUUCACUAUCUUUCUUGUUUCUUUAUAGUUUGUGGCUUUAGUUUGUAAGUUUACCGAUGCAUAUGGAGAGAGACGUCUUGAAUAAGAUUUCGGUUUGGCUUUUGUGAUAACUUGUUCAGUGGCGGCUUUGGCCGCUGGCUCUGAGUUUACUUGUGCAGUGGCCGCUUUGAUUGCUGGCUCUAGCUCAGGUUCUGGUUCAUCGACGAUGGUGGUUGUAGCUGCUUCUGCUGCUACUGGUGCUGGUGCGGGAAGACCUUUGCUGCUUACUGGUGUGGGAGAUGUUGGAGGCUUCAAGUAUGGGUACUGCAAACAUAGUGAAGAAGAGAAAGAGAGAGAGAGAGAUACAUCAGAUUAGAAAACACUCAUGUGAUCAAUGGUUGUCUUAACAUUGCUUCUUUGUGUUAAAUAAUGUAAGAGAGGUUUCAGGGGGAGUGUAUAAACUUCACCGAUGCAUAUGGAGAUAAUGGUCUUGGAUAAGGUUUCGGUUUGGCUUCUGUUUUUGUUGGUUCUGUGAUUACUUGUUCCGUAGCAGCUUCGGUCGCUGGAUAUAUGGUUACUUGUGCAGUGGCGGCUUUAAUUGCUGGCUCAGGUUCUUUUUCAUCCACGGUGGUGGUUGUAGCUGCUUCUGCUGCUGGUGGGGGAAGAGCUUUGCUGCUUGUUGAUAGAGGAAGAAAAGCCUUUCCUAUGUCCUGUGUUAAUUCAAUGUUAUAGAAACGGUUUCAUUACUAAUUUCAUAAUGUUGGCUUUAGUUUUCUGUUGGUUUGUGAUUAUGAACUAAUAGAGGAGAUGAUGCAAUUUUUUUAA